UAAAGAGGCCGUUUAGUUCAAGAUUUAUAAUGUUUCACAAAUAUUAUUUAUUUUAUAUUCAGAAUGGCAAAUUUGUUAUUAACUUGUAAGUUAUUUGAGCGGUGAGAUUGUUAAGAAAUGGUAUAUUCUUAUUAAUGAGUAGCUAAAGAUUCCCACAAGUAGGAAAAUAAGAAUACCACACUAUCUAUGAUAAUCUAGUAUUCGUACCAUUUAAGAAUUUAUAAUGAUUUGAAUUGAACGAUAAUGAUUUGAAUAUUUUUGAUAAAAGAUUUAUAGAAUUACGAGAAUAUUACAAAUCAUGAACUCAAAUAGAUCCAAAGAGCACUGCUGCGGAUGAGCAAUGCUAUUAAUACACCCAAAAACUGGAUGUAAAUUUUAUAUCUGUCUAUCCAAGGAUUUAUCUUAUCAAUAUUUUUAAAAAAAAUAUUAAAUACGAAAAAGGGUGUCUAAACUCUCGAAUGGAUGAGUGUGAAAUUUAUAACCGACCUUUCGGCUUUACAGGCAAUAUUUCUUUAUUUUAAAUAUUAAAAUUGAAUUGGGUUUUGUAGAUCUUGGUUUGGAUAAAGUGUAGAAUUUACAAAUAUAUAUAGGUGUACAGAUAGUAUUUUUUUUUUUUUAUAUGAGUGAAUGUUUCUGAAGAAAAUGUCAAAUCGAUCGGUCUAUCCUGACCUAAGUGUCCAAAUUAGUUCAUUUCAACUUCUAAAAACAAGCGGACAGAUCUCACGCUGACUCAGUCUAUAAACGAUUCGGUUCAACAUUUUGAACCAGAUAAGUCAAAACCUCACUUUGAAUCGUUUGAAUUGGUGGUC
rnacentral:lncRNA from 1 species